GUCCAGGAAAUGAAUAUUAGUUCAGCUUUAAAAAUACCAAUAAUAUAAACAAAUAUACUGUAUUUUUAAAAGUUAGUCUAAAAGGGUACAGCCUUUUAGAAACGGAUACAACCUUAACUAGAGAGUAAAACUUGACAAUACCAUAGUAGGCCCAAAAGCAGCCACCAAUUAAGAAAGCGUUAAAGCUCAACAAUAAAACUAUCUUAAUCCCAAUAACAAAUAAUUAACUCCUAGCCUUAAUACUGGACUAAUCUAUAAAAAUAGAAGCAAUAAUGUUAAUAUGAGUAACAAGAAGUAUCUUCUCCCCGCACGAGUUUAAGUCAGUACCUGAUAAUAUUCUGACCAUUAACAGCAAAAUAAGAAUAACCUAACUAUAAAUAACUUACUUAUUGUACUGUUAAUCCAACACAGGAGUGCACUUAAGGAAAGAUUAAAAGAAGUAAAAGGAACUCGGCAAACACUAAACCCCGCCUGUUUACCAAAAACAUCACCUCCAGCAUAACUAGUAUUGGAGGCAUUGCCUGCCCAGUGACAACCGUUAAACGGCCGCGGUAUCCUGACCGUGCAAAGGUAGCAUAAUCAUUUGUUCUCUAAAUAAGGACUUGUAUGAAUGGCCAAACGAGGGUUUUACUGUCUCUUACUUCCAAUCAGUGAAAUUGACCUUCCCGUGAAGAGGCGGGAAUACCAUAAUAAGACGAGAAGACCCUAUGGAGCUUUAACUACUUAGUCCAAAGAAAUAAAUUUACUAACCAAGGAAACAACAAUACUCUUUAUGGACUAACAGCUUUGGUUGGGGUGACCUCGGAGAACAGAAAAUCCUCCGAGCGAUUUUAAAGACUAGACUCACAAGUCAAAUCACACAAUCGCUUAUUGAUCCAAAAAAUUGAUCAACGGAACAAGUUACCCUAGGGAUAACAGCGCAAUCCUAUUCAAGAGUUCAUAUCGACAAUAGGGUUUACGACCUCGAUGUUGGAUCAGGACACCCCGAUGGUGCAACAGCUAUCAAAGGUUCGUUUGUUCAACGAUUAAAG
rnacentral:rRNA from 1 species